CGUAGGUGGCAAGCGUUGUCCGGAUUUAUUGGGCGUAAAGCGCGCGCAGGUGGUUUCUUAAGUCUGAUGCGAAAGCCCACGGCUCAACCGUGGAGGGUCAUUGGAAACUGGGGGAACUUGAGUGCAGAAGAGGAUAGUGGAAUUCCAAGUGUAGCGGUGAAAUGCGUAGAGAUUUGGAGGAACACCAGUGGCGAAGGCGACUGUCUGGUCUGUAACUGACACUGAGGCGCGAAAGCGUGGGGGAGCAAACAGGAUU
rnacentral:rRNA from 1 species